CAGUUCAGAUUGUAGGCUGAAACUCGCCUAUAUGAAGUCGGAAUUGCUAGUAAUCGCGGAUCAGCAUGCCGCGGUGAAUACGUUCCCGGGCCUUGUACACACCGCCCGUCACACCAUGAGAGUCGAUAACACCCGAAGCCUGUAGUCUAACAGCAAUGAGGACGCAGUCGAAGGUGGGAUUGAUAAUUAGGGUGAAGUCGUAACAAGGUACC
rnacentral:rRNA from 1 species